GGAAGGUCCAUAGCUCAGUGGGAGAGAUCAUAUGCUUUGAAUGUAGAAGGUCCCAGGUUCAUGCCCUGGUAACUCCA